AUCACACACACCUGUGUCCCUCCUAUACCCCCGAGGGUCUGAUUUGGUCCAUCAGGGGUUUAGUACUAGAUAUUGGGAUUUUUCUUUUUAAAAAAUAAUCAUGAAGACCCUUCAGAUGGCUUCCUUUCCCUUUCACUCUCCCAAAGGAAGAGAAGAGUGAUCGUCAGUGGCAAAAGGCAAUUGCAGAGAAGCACCACCAAGAGCCAGCUUCAUGCUCAGGAGUGAAUGCUGAGCUGUUUCCUCAUGGUUUCUGGUGCUCCACAUGUUCAGAGAAACUUCUCUGCUUAAUUUGCAGGCCCCCAGGUACUGAACUUAAGAGGAUAGAGGAAAAGUUUUUCCUCCCCGACACUGAGCAACCAGAGGCUGCUGUUAAGUAACCUUCCCUCAUUUCUACGUCUGUCCUCUGCCCCUUCCAGCCCCUCAACCCACAUUGUCUCUCAUGUUCCUA
rnacentral:lncRNA from 1 species